rnacentral:rRNA from 1 species
UACGUAGGGGGCAAGCGUUGUCCGGAAUUAUUGGGCGUAAAGAGCUCGUAGGCGGUCCUUUAAGUCGGAAGUGAAAUCUCAGGGCUCAACCCUGAAAUUGCUUUCGAUACUGGCGGACUUGAGGCAGGUAGGGGAGAGCGGAAUUCCUGGUGUAGCGGUGAAAUGCGCAGAUAUCAGGAGGAACACCGGUGGCGAAGGCGGUCCUCUGGGCAUUCCCUGACGCUGAGGAGCGAAAGUGUGGGGAGCGAACAGG